rnacentral:rRNA from 1 species
AUUGAACGCUGGCGGCAUGCCUUACACAUGCAAGUCGAACGGCAGCGGGCCCUUCGGGGUGCCGGCGAGUGGCGAACGGGUGAGUAAUGCAUCGGAACGUACCCGGGAGAGGGGGAUAACCGGCCGAAAGGCUGGCUAAUACCGCAUGAACUCGGAAGAGCAAAGCGGGGGACCUUCGGGCCUCGCGCUCUCGGAGCGGCCGAUGUCCGAUUAGGCUAGUUGGUGGGGUAAAGGCCCACCAAGGCGACGAUCGGUAGCGGGUCUGAGAGGACGAUCCGCCACACUGGGACUGAGACACGGCCCAGACUCCUACGGGAGGCAGCAGUGGGGAAUCUUGGACAAUGGGCGCAAGCCUGAUCCAGCAAUGCCGCGUGGGUGAAGAAGGCCUUCGGGUUGUAAAGCCCUUUCGGCGGGGAAGAAAUCGGUCAGGCGAAUAGUCUGGCCGGAUGACGGUACCCGCAGAAGAAGCACCGGCUAGCUACGUG